UUGAAGAAUCAUUUCAUCAUGCUAUUAUUCGAUCCUUGGUCAAGGUUUGGAAGAGUUUAGCUUCGUUUAAGGUUCAGGUUUUUCUCGUGGCCAUUGUUUAUGAAUAAAGUUCAAACUCGUGUUAAUCUCUUAAGAUGCAGUGUUUUGGUCGACUAAACCGAUACAACAUGUUGUUUUUAUUGUUACCCAGGUUGAAUCGAUCGAUCAUUUGUCUGUUCAUUAUUAUCCUAUCGUGUCCAGAGUGUGAUAUAGAGUUUGUAGGUGGUUAAGUUGAAAGAUAGCUGUACUAGAUAGUCUAGUGGGAUUGUUUCAAGUGUUUUACUUUUCUUGCUCAUAGAGCUAGGUAUAGGUUAGGUCUUAUUUUCUAAAUUUCUGUUUUUUUUUUCUUCAAAAUAAAAUACUCAAUUUUCUAAUAAAUUUAGUUUGUCAUAGUUUAUUUGAAUGAAUUUGUUGUAUUUCUCUAAUGGCAUGACAUAGUUUAUGGCUUUGUCAUUCUUAGCUAACACACAAGCAUUUGUUUCUUAAAAAAGUAUUUCCACAGUGAAUUGAUAAUAUUUUGGCACUAUUUAGAAAAUGCACAUUUUUUUUUUAUAUAACUCAGAUAUCUACUGCGCGCAAUUGUUAAGACUAAUUCAUCAAAACUCAUGGUACCCAAAUGGGCAUCAAUCUCUCCCUAGAGAGAAAAAGAUUGUUAUCAUAACAUUUUCAUUUUUGUUAUGCAUAACUUUUCGUCAAAUAUUGGGAUCAAGAAAUUUGGAAAAAGAAUUCAAUCAUUCAAUUAACAACUUCUAUAAUGGAAUUUUACCAAACCUUAAGCCUAAUUUCUAUAAAAUUACUUUGGUAUAAUGGUUUACCAUUAUUUUUAUACUAUUUAUUAUAUUUCAAAAGUUAUAGUUAUCAUGUUUUAUUUCAUGCUGAUAUGAAUACAUUUUAAUUAUGGUUUACUUGAUCAAAUACUCUCUAUAACGUGCAUUUCCUUCAAUCUUGUAAAGUGGCUUUAAUGUGUAACUGAUUGAUUUUAAUUUGCAACGGAUUGAUUGGCAUAUAUAGAAAAACAUUUUUCCACUUUGAUUAGAAUGAAAAAACUAUACAAUUUCUUUCACUUUUUUUUUUAUAUACCAAAAGGCUCCCCACACUCAUGUUUUUGAGAAAGAUACAAACCAACCAACACCAAUUUUUAUCAAGCUAUACACAACUUUGGAUUUCAUCUUCCAGAUUAAAUUAUAUUCUUGCUAGUUUAUGCAUCCUUGAUUACCAUCAAGAAGAGUCUGUUAAAUUCUUGGGGGUUAGCGUAUUAUACGCGGAAAAUUCUUGAGGACAACGCGACCAUCAUGUCUCAGACUAUCUCACCAAUUUUGUUUUGUAGGUAUUUGUAGCAGUUUCUACAACAAUCUCAAGGAUUCUUGCAUGGCUGCUUGAAAAAAUAUGGUGCAAAACAAAGCUGCAAUGAAAAGGUACGAUAACAAAGAGUCUGGUCACAAUAACCAUAAAAUUGAUUUUGUCCAUGAUGUUUUUAACCCAAAAGUUUAUUUAUUGAAACAUAAAGAUGAAGCGUUUGAUAAGUUUAUUAUAUACAAAGAUGAGGGAGAAAAUUAAUUGAGUAGAAAAAUUAAGCUGAGAUAUAUUCUUUUAAUGAUUUUUGUGAAAAAGAGGGUAUAAUUCAUGAAGUAACUCCCCCUUAUUCUCCUGAAUCAAAUGGAGUUGCAAAAAGAAAAAAUAGGACAUUAAAAGAAACAAUGAAUGCUAUGCUUGUUAGUUCUUCUGCACCAGACACCUUUGGGGUGAAGCUUUGUCAACUGUAUGUUUUUUACAAAAAGAAUUCCACAUAGAUUCACUGGAAAAACAACCUAUGAAUUGUGGAAAAGUUAUAAGCCGAGUCUUAAAUUUUUAAAAGUGUGGGGG
rnacentral:lncRNA from 1 species